AGCUAGCCUCGUUCGGUACAUUUAGUUAGCUGUUAGCUGGCUCCGUUCGGUACAUUUAGUUAGCUGUUAGCUCGCUCCGUUCGGUACAUUUACUUCGCUGCCAGCUGGCUCCGUUCGGUACAUUUACUUCGCUGCUAGCUGGCUCCGUUCGGUACAUUUACUUCGCUGCUAGCUGGCUCCGUUCGGUACAUUUAGUUAGCUGCUAGCUGGCUCCGUUCGGUACAUUUAGUUAGCUGCUAGCUGGCUCCGUUCGGUACAUUUAGUUAGCUGCUAGCUGGCUCCGUUCGGUACAUUUAGUUAGCUGCUAGCUGGCUCCGUUCGGUACAUUUAGUUAGCGGUUAGCUAGCUCCAUUAGGUACAUUUACUUCGCUGUUAGCUGGCUCCGUUCGGUACAUUUACUUCGCUGUUAGCUGGCUCCGUUCGGUACAUUUAGUUAGCUGCUAGCUGGCUCCGUUCGGUACAUUUAGUUAGCUGUUAGCUAGCUCCAUUAGGUACAUUUAGUUAGCUGUUAGCUAGCUCCGUUCGGUACAUUUAGUUAGCUGCUAACUAGCCUCGUUCGGUACAUUUAGUUACCA